rnacentral:rRNA from 1 species
CGCCCGUCGCUCCUACCGAUUGGGUGUGCUGGUGAAGUGUUCGGAUUGGCUACCGGGUGCGGUCUCCGCUCUCGGUCGCCGAGAAGUUCAUUAAACCCUCCCACCUAGAGGAAGGAGAAGUCGUAACAAGGUUUCC